rnacentral:rRNA from 1 species
GCUAGUAAUGGCAGGUCAGCAUACUGCCGUGAAUACGUUCCCGGGCCUUGUACACACCGCCCGUCACACCAUGAGAGUUGGGAAUACCCGAAGCCUGUGAGCUAACUUUUAGAGGCAGCAGUCGAAGGUAGAAUCAAUGAUUGGGGUGAAGUCGUAACAAGGUACC